rnacentral:lncRNA from 1 species
AGGCUUAAAUGCACAUUUGAUCCCCCUAUUUUCAAAAAAAUGAAGUUUUGGUCCCCCUAUUUUAAAAACCAACUUUUUAGUCCCCCAAUUUUAACUUUUUUUGAGUUUUGAUCCCCCAUCCCAUUUUAGGGCUAAUUUUGUUGAUGUGGCAUUGCCAUUAAUGCAUAUAAGCGUCCACGUAGACAAAUUUAAUAUCCAUGUCAUUAUUUAUUUUUAAUUCAAUAAAAC